GGCUCUAUUGGCUAGAGCGUCCCGACAACUGUCGGGAAGGUCAUCGGUUCGAAUCCGAUAUUCUCCA
rnacentral:tRNA from 1 species